UACGUAGGGGGCUAGCGUUGUCCGGAUUUAUUGGGCGUAAAGAGCGUGUAGGUGGCCGGGUAAGUCCGGUGUGAAAACUCGAGGCUUAACCUCGAGAUGUCAUCGGAAACUAUUCGGCUAGAGUCCGGAAGAGGAGAGUGGAAUUCCUGGUGUAGCGGUGAAAUGCGCAGAUAUCAGGAAGAACACCUAUGGCGAAAGCAGCUCUCUGGGACGGUACUGACGCUGAGACGCGAAAGCGUGGGGAGCGAACAGG
rnacentral:rRNA from 1 species